GAUUUCUGAUUAGUCAUCCUGGCCCGCAGGCUUCUGUCUGUGAGUGCUGGUAUGUUCUAUUCAUCCUUCUAGUUUGCCAUGCGUACCGUUUAUUCGGCCGCGCGUGUGUGAUCUAGAUCUUUUACUUUGAAAAAAUUAGAGUGUUUAAAGCAGGCUUACGCCAUGAAUACAUUAGCAUGGAAUAAUAAUAUAGGACUUUGGUUCUAUUUUGUUGGUUUCUAGGACUGAAGUAAUGAUUGAUAGGGAUAGUUGGGGGUGCUAGUAUUCAGCGGCCAGAGGUGAAAUUCUUGGAUUCGCUGAAGACUAACUACUGCGAAAGCAUU
rnacentral:rRNA from 1 species